CUUCUAGAUCCCCUGCGGACCUGAAUUUUGCAAAAUCCAGGCUUCCACCAAUUCUCCACCAGGAUUUCCCAGAAGGCUGGCACUUGGAACGUCCUGCGCUCCAUUAAGAACCGGAGAUCUGUUUGGCGCCCAGGGACCCCGGGCUCCUGACACCAACCUGCAGCAGACAAGAGUGGCUGGCACCCCCAGACUCUUACCGUAGCAUCUUCUCCCGAAUAGUGUCCGAUGACACGGUGGCCCCCCGGGUGCCGCUGGGACCAUUUGGUAACAUUGUAGACCUUGCGGUCGAUGACGAGCCACCGGUCGGUGCGCAGGUUGUGCUUCUGAAUCUCCUCCCAGCGGAAGUCCUUUCCAGACCCUGAGCUCUCUAGCUCCUCAUGACACUGGUCUAAAGAAGUACCUGGAGCAGGGGGUAAUGCCAUUCCCACAGUCCCUCCCAUGAUAUGCACAUCUCAUUCUGUCCUGGCAUCCAUCAGGAGCAUCCUUUCUUCAUUCCGAAAACUCCAGACUCAAGGAGUGUGAGUGAAGCUUCUUUGGCUUAGAGGAGAGGAAACAAGCAUCCAACCUGUAUGGCCUGCCCAAAAGAUAAGAGCGAAUGAAGUAGGUGUGGUGGCCAUGUCCAUACUGGCAACAGUCAGAAACCUGAGGCAGGAUCUUGCCAGGAGUCCAAGGCUGGCCUGGGCUGCAAAGCAAGAUCCUAUAGGAGGAUGGGACACAACUCUGCGUAAGGAGCAAG